rnacentral:rRNA from 1 species
GACGAACGCUGGCGGCGUGCUUAACACAUGCAAGUCGAACGGAAAGGUCCUGCUUUUGUGGGGUGCUCGUGUGGCGAAGGGGUGAGUAACACGUGAGUAAACUGUCCUUAACUUUGGGAUAACUUCUGGGAAAACGGGCUAAUAUCGGAUAGGAUAUACUGAAGCAUGGUGGGGGUUGGAAAGUGUCGGCGGUUGUGGAUGGAUUGGAGGCUUAUGAGCUUGUUGGUGAGGUAGGGGAUUACAAAGGCUUUGACGGGUAGCCGGCCUGGGAGGGUGACCGGCCACAUUGGGCCUGAGAGACGGACCAGAAGCCUACCGGACGCAGCAGUCGGAAGUUUUGCACAAUGGCCGGAAGCCUGAUGCAGCAACGCCGCGUGCGUGAAGACGUCCUUCGGGUUAAAAACCGAUUUCGCCUUUGACAUAGCGUUUGUGACGGUAAUUGGUAAAAAAGCACCGGCUAACUACGUG